CUACCCUUGACAUGUCUGGAAUGCCGAAGAGAUUUGGCAGUGCUCGCAAGAGAACCGGAACACAGGUGCUGCAUGGCUGUCGUCAGCUCGUGUCGUGAGAUGUUGGGUUAAGUCCCGCAACGAGCGCAACCCUUGUCAUUAGUUGCUACGAAAGGGCACUCUAAUGAGACUGCCGGUGACAAACCGGAGGAAGGUGGGGAUGACGUCAAGUCCUCAUGGCCCUUAUGGGUAGGGCUUCACACAUCAUACAAUGGUCGGGACAGAGGGUCGCCAACCCGCGAGGGGGAGCCAAUCCCAGAAACCCGAUCGUAGUCCGGAUCGCAGUCUGCAACUCGACUGCGUGAAGUCGGAAUCGCUAGUAAUCGCGGAUCAGCAUGUCGCGGUGAAUA
rnacentral:rRNA from 1 species